rnacentral:rRNA from 1 species
GAUUUAUUAAAUUGCACGUUAAAGAAGAAUGCCUCAUUUACAUGGCAAAGCAUAAUGCAAGGUGUGAAUACUUUGAGACAUGGAUAUAUUUGGAGAGUAGGAGAUGGUGGAAACAUUAAUAUCUGGAGGGAUGCUUGGAUCCCAAACUCUCCAUCCAGAAUGAUUAUCACACCUAGGGGAGGCCAUUUGAUUUCUAAGGUGAGUGACUUAAUUGAUCCAUUAAUGGGUCAGUGGGAUGUCGACCUUGUUGAGCAAACUUUUUGGCCCAUUGAUGCGGUAAGGGUUCUUGCUAUACCAUUAUCGACAAAUGAUAUGACUGAUUUUAUUGCUUGGAGUCUGAAUAAGCAUGGAAAUUUUACUGUCAAAUCGGCUUACCAUACUGUCUGGGAUUACCAACAUGGACGUAAACUACGAAGAAUUGAUGGUUUGGGCGCCUCAGGCGCUAACCCAACAUGGCAAAAAGUUUGGAAACUUAACUGUCCAACAAAGGUAAAAAUCUUUCUCUGGCGAACACUACAUGGAACUAUGCCUCGUAAUGUUGUUCUUGAAAAUCAUCAUAUACCUGUUAGACCGGCGUGUCCAGCAUGUGGCCAAAGUGCGGAAGAUGUUUUGCAUGUGUUGUUUCGAUGCAAAAAGGCAAGGAAGUGUGGCGCCUCCUAG